rnacentral:rRNA from 1 species
CAGUCGCCGCGGGAAUACAGAGGAUGCAAGCGUUAUUCGGAAUGAUUGGGCGUAAAGCGUCUGUAGGUGGCUUUUCAAGUCCGCCGUCAAAUCCCAGGGCUCAACCCUGGACAGGCGGUGGAAACUACCAAGCUGGAGUACGGUAGGGGCAGAGGGAAUUUCCGGUGGAGCGGUGAUAUGCGUUGAGAUCGGAAAGGACACCAACGGCGAAAGCACUCUGCUGGGCCGACACUGACACUGAGAGACGAAAGCUAGGGGAGCAAAUGGGAUUAGAUACCCCCGUAGUCCCUGUCUCUUAUAC